AAAAAGUAAACCGUAGGUUCUCGCCAACGUCUGACUAUCCGUCUUAUAUAAAAUUUUUUAUAAUUAGUAUUUUUAUUGUUGUUAGAUGAUAAAACAUGAUUAACAUUUUAUGCGUGACUUAUUUUUUUAAUUUUUUUUAUAAUUUUUUUAAAUAAGACGGACGAUCAAACGUUGGAUGUGAAUAUGAGGGUU
rfam:Oryza rufipogon genomic scaffold, chr08